rnacentral:rRNA from 1 species
AGAGUUUGAUCCUGGCUCAGGACGAACGCUGGCUGCGUGCUUAACACAUGCAAGUCGAACGCUGAAGCCCCAGCUUGCUGGGGUGGAUGAGUGGCGAACGGGUGAGUAACACGUGAGUAACCUGCCCCUGACUUCGGGAUAAGCCCGGGAAACUGGGUCUAAUACCGGAUACGACCUGUCCUCGCAUGAGGGUGGGUGGAAAGUUUUUUCGGUUGGGGAUGGGCUCGCGGCCUAUCAGUUUGUUGGUGAGGUAAUGGCUCACCAAGACGACGACGGGUAGCCGGCCUGAGAGGGCGACCGGCCACACUGGGACUGAGACACGGCCCAGACUCCUACGGGAGGCAGCAGUGGGGAAUAUUGCACAAUGGGGGAAACCCUGAUGCAGCGACGCAGCGUGCGGGAUGACGGCCUUCGGGUUGUAAACCGCUUUCAGCAGGGAAGAAGCGAAAGUGACGGUACCUGCAGAAGAAGUACCGGCUAACUACGUGCCAGCAGCCGCGGUAAUACGUAGGGUACGAGCGUUGUCCGGAAUUAUUGGGCGUAAAGAGCUCGUAGGUGGUUGGUCACGUCUGCUGUGGAAACGCAACGCUUAACGUUGCGCGUGCAGUGGGUACGGGCUGACUAGAGUGCAGUAGGGGAGUCUGGAAUUCCUGGUGUAGCGGUGAAAUGCGCAGAUAUCAGGAGGAACACCGGUGGCGAAGGCGGGACUCUGGGCUGUAACUGACACUGAGGAGCGAAAGCAUGGGGAGCGAACAGGAUUAGAUACCCUGGUAGUCCAUGCCGUAAACGUUGGGCACUAGGUGUGGGGGACAUUCCACGUUCUCCGCGCCGUAGCUAACGCAUUAAGUGCCCCGCCUGGGGAGUACGGUCGCAAGGCUAAAACUCAAAGGAAUUGACGGGGGCCCGCACAAGCGGCGGAGCAUGCGGAUUAAUUCGAUGCAACGCGAAGAACCUUACCAAGGCUUGACAUACACCAGACCGGCUUGGAAACAGGUCUUCCCCU